UUUAACAAAUUAGUUUUGCAAGGAGAGUUUGUGGGUGUCGUGACUGGUAAACCCUUAGGAGACACAACUCCUCAUACUACGGACACCUAGAGGUUUAAAGGCUUGUGGCACAUGCUAAGUAUUGUCGUCGGAUCAGCUGCACCAAAAUGGAUUCAGCUGCGUCCUCAACUUGUGAUACUCGCAAGUGCAUGAGCGGUUCGGUAGUAUAGUAUAUGUAAGUGCGAGGUCGAUCCCACGAGGAUUGAUGAUAGAUUGAUCCAAUUCGAUUCCCUGUACAAAACAGAAAUGAAAAAGAAAGGAAAUAAAUAAAACAAGAAAGAAAGAAAAAACUAACUCAAGCAAAUAAGUUCCCAAGUUCAAAUUAGAUUAACGGAUUGAUUCUAGCUGAAGUAUGAUUAAGCCAUGGUGUCUGGUCCUAACCUUGUAUUCCUAAUUCCCUAAUUUGAUCAUCUAUUGUCUAACCUAAAAUUAAGCAUUAGGAUUCCAUUAAGCAUAGAAGAACAUUUUAAACAACCAAGUACGUAUCUAAUCC
rnacentral:lncRNA from 1 species